rnacentral:rRNA from 1 species
GACGAACGCUGGCGGCGUGCCUAAUACAUGCAAGUCGAACGCAUUUUCUAUCACCGUAGCUUGCUACACCGAAAGAAAAUGAUUGGCGAAGGGGGGAAUAACACCGGUGUAAUCUGCCCUACAGCGGGGGAAAACACGUGGAAACAGGUUAUAAUACCGCACUAUUCCAUUUUCCGCAGGAAAGGUUGGUGAAAGGCGAUUUUGUGGCACCGAGGGAUGGACGCGCGGUGUAUUAGCUUGGGGGUGGGGUAACGGCCUACCAAGGCUGCGAUGCAUAGCCGACCUGAGAGGGUGAUCGGCCACACUGGGACUGAGACACGGCCCAGACUCCUACGGGAGGCAGCAGUAGGGAAUCUUCGGCAAUGGACGCAAGUCUGACCGAGCAACGCCGCGUGAGUGAAGAAGGUUUUCGGAUCGUAAAUCUCUGUUGUUAGAGAAGAACAAGGAUGAGAGUGGAAAGUUCAUCCCUUGACGGUAUCUAACCAGAAAGCGACGGCUAACUACGUG